rnacentral:tRNA from 1 species
UCUUGGUCAGCUCAGUUGGUAUAGAGAGCUCCAAUGGAAAUGGAGAUGUCUCUGGUUUGAUUCUAGCACCAGGCG